UACGUAGGGUGCGAGCGUUGUCCGGAAUUAUUGGGCGUAAAGAGCUUGUAGGCGGUUUGUCGCGUCUGCUGUGAAAAUCCGGGGCUCAACCCCGGGUCUGCAUUCGAUACGGGCUAGCUAGAGUGUGGUAGGGGAGAUCGGAAUUCCUGGUGUAGCGGUGAAAUGCGCAGAUAUCAGGAGGAACACCAAUGGCGAAGGCAGCACUCUGGUACGUGACUGACGCUGAGACGCGAAAGCGUGGGGAGCAAACAGG
rnacentral:rRNA from 1 species